rnacentral:lncRNA from 1 species
UCUCGAGAGCACUAUCUUCAUCCGUAUACUCUUCUCUCAUUCUCUUCCCCAUAUCACGCAUGAGUGCAUCAUCAUCACCAAAUAAAGUGAACAGUGGGGGCUCCUCCUCUUUCUCCUCCAUAAUGGUAAUGCCAGGUGCCCCAAUAACACUGACAUGACUACUAUGUAAGGCUGUGAUGUCCGCCUAAGCCUAUGAAAGGUUAGCAAAUAUCUGCGUCAAAUAUAUGAGCUGAAUCUCCUUCUACCUCAAGUUCACUCGCUCCUCUAUACCGUCAAACGUCCAUGCAUCUCACACACGAACUGAUCUAAGGGCUCUCUCCAGGGGAACCACAACAUCUAUUAACGUCGGAAUGUAAGGCUGGAACUGUUGGGUGAGCAAAGUAAACUGCCUCUCCGUGCUCUGUCUGCUUUACUAUAUCACUUAAUCCUUCAUGGGUGAGUGUAAUAACUACAGUAGAGGCAGGAGAACGUACUUAAAUAGAAGGAUAUGCAGUAUCCCCAUUAUCAAUUUGUGUGAGAGUAUCAUCUUGAUCACCCACCUCGAUCAUCUAAGCCAACAAAUUGCCCUCAGAAGAGGAAGACACUGAGUCUUACUCUUAGACACAAGAUUUGCCUCGUCUCAAAUCAAUCUGAUAUCCUGAACAUACAGGGCUUCCACCAUAUGAUCAACACUCGAGAAUAUUAGCACGCCGACCUAUCUUUACAGUGCAGCUACAAGGCAUGGAAAAAGGAUGGAAGUACUAUCCCACAAGGCCCUCUGUCAAAUCUCUGCAAUGAUAUAUGAGCUAUAUUAAUGUCUUACCUCAAUAAGAGUUUAGCUACUAGGAAAGCUCGAUUUGAUGUGAGAGAAUUAUCAGAAGUUGUGGGACUCAACCUUAAUCGUACCACAACCCACCAAAAUAUAGCAGCAAAGUUCAAGGCUGCCUUAGUGCUAUCAGCUUUGUCAUUCUUUAACCAUCCUGGGUCUUUGUCAGUAAGCAAGGUGGAAAUCCAUUUCAGCUGCCU